AGUCUGAUGGAGCAACGCCGCGUGAGUGAAGAAGGUUUUCGGAUCGUAAAGCUCUGUUGUUGGUGAAGAAGGAUAGAGGUAGUAACUGGCCUUUAUUUGACGGUAAUCAACCAGAAAGUCACGGCUAACUACGUGCCAGCAGCCGCGGUAAUACGUAGGUGGCAAGCGUUGUCCGGAUUUAUUGGGCGUAAAGCGAGCGCAGGCGGAAAAAUAAGUCUAAUGUGAAAGCCCUCGGCUUAACCGAGGAAUUGCAUCGGAAACUGUUUUUCUUGAGUGCAGAAGAGGAGAGUGGAACUCCAUGUGUAGCGGUGGAAUGCGUAGAUAUAUGGAAGAACACCAGUGGCGAAGGCGGCUCUCUGGUCUGCAACUGACGCUGAGGCUCGAAAGCAUGGGUAGCGAACAGGAUUAGAUACCCUGGUAGUCCAUGCCGUAAACGAUGAGUGCUAAGUGUUGGGAGGUUUCCGCCUCUCAGUGCUGCAGCUAACGCAUUAAGCACUCCGCCUGGGGAGUACGACCGCAAGGUUGAAACUCAAAGGAAUUGACGGGGGCCCGCACAAGCGGUGGAGCAUGUGGUUUAAUUCGAAGCAACGCGAAGAACCUUACCAGGUCUUG
rnacentral:rRNA from 1 species